rnacentral:lncRNA from 1 species
CACGCCAAACUCAAACUGUCAAACAGGACAAAGGAAGUAGUCUCCAUUUGCAUUUUACAAUUUGGCAAUUAACGCUUCAUUUUAGUCAAGUAGGCCCCCUCCCAUUCAAUUUCGUGGCGCUCACUACUUGUCAAUCAACUUAUAAAACUACUCAUUUCUCCAUCUUCAUUACCCCUCUUUCAUUUUUGUCUUUCGUACAGCUCCUCUCAAUUAUGGCGGCUGCAGCGCCCCCUCCUCCUCCUUUCACCAAAACCCUAUCUCAUUCCCCUUCCUCCUCCGCCAAAUCCCCCACUCUUCUCCCUAGAUCCACCUUCCCUUUUACCCGGCCCCUUCUCCUUAUCCACCGCCGUCGUUUCACGGUCAACAAUGUCAUUUCCACUAAUCAUAACGUUUCCCUUUCUCAACCACCCGAAACAUUUAUUACCCGUUUUGCCCCUGACGAGCCCCGAAAAGGCUGCGACGUUCUCGUGGAAGCACUCGAAAGAGAAGGGGUU